AUGCCGGGCCUUUGUAGGUCUGGCAAUUGGAAUGAGAACAAUUUAAACCCCUUAUCGAGUAUCAAUUGGAGGGCAAGUCUGGUGCCAGCAGCCGCGGUAAUUCCAGCUCCAAUAGCGUAUAUUAAAGUUGUUGCAGUUAAAAGCUCGUAGUUGGAUUUGUGGCUGUCACGGGCGGCCUAUCACUUAGUGUUAGUGCUUGCCUGUGUCGCCAUCCUUGGGUGGAGCCCGUGUGGCAUUAGGUUGUCGUGCGGGGGAUGCCCACCGUUUACUGUGAGAAAAUUAGAGUGUUCAAAGCAGGCUUAUGCCGUUGAAUAUGUUAGCAUGGAAUAAUAAGAUAGGACCUCGGUACUAUUUUGUUGGUUUGCGCACCGAGGUAAUGAUUAACAGGGACAGUUGGGGGUAUUCGUAUUCCAUUGUCAGAGGUGAAAUUCUUGGAUUUCUGGAAGACGAACUACUGCGAAAGCAUUUACCAAGGAUGUUUUCAUUAAUCAAGAACGAAAGUUAGGGGAUCGAAGAUGAUUAGAUACCAUCGUAGUCUUAACCAUAAACUAUGCCGACAAGGGAUUGGCGGAGUUUCGUUUUGUCUCCGUCAGCACCUUAUGAGAAAUCACAAGUCUUUGGGUUCCGGGGGGAGUAUGGUCGCAAGGCUGAAACUUAAAGAAAUUGUCGGAAGGGCACCACCAGGAGUGGAGCCUGCGGCUUAAUUUGACCCAACACGGGAAAACUUACCAGGUCCAGACAAAGUGAGGAUUGACAGAUUGAGAGCUCUUUCUUGAUUCUUUGGGUGGUGGUGCAUGGCCGUUCUUAGUUGGUGGAGUGAUUUGUCUGGUUAAUUCCGUUAACGAACGAGACCCCUGCCUGCUAAAUAGCCUAGCAAAUGAGUUUUCAUUCGCCGGGGCUUCUUAGAGGGACGUGCAUUCUAUUAGAUGCAGGAAGAUAGGGGCAAUAACAGGUCUGUGAUGCCCUUAGAUGUCCUGGGCCGCACGCGCGCUACACUGAUGCGUUCAACGAGUUCUUCCUUGGCCGAGAGGCCUGGGCAAUCUUUUGAACGCGCAUCGUGAUAGGGAUUGACACUUGCAAUUAUUUGUCAUGAACGAGGAAUUCCUAGUAAACGCAGAUCAUCAAUCUGCAUUGAUUACGUCCCUGCCCUUUGUACACACCGCCCGUCGCACCUACCGAUUGAAUGGUCCGGUGAAGCCUCGGGAUUGUGGCGAGUUUCCUUUAUUGGGAGUUUGUCGCGAGAACUUGUCUAAACCUUAUCAUUUAGAGGAAGGUGAAGUC
rnacentral:rRNA from 1 species